CUGAGAACCAUUACGUAUUGAAUGGAGACUGUAUCCGGUGUGGACACUGUAAAGGUGACCAUCCAUGUAACAAAACAACAGGACGAUGUGAUAACGGUUGUGAGAAUCAAUGGAUGGGAGACACAUGUAAACAAUGUAGGGAUUAUAUGUAUGGAGAAAACUGUUCAUCUACAUGCGGUAAAUGUGUCAACUCAACAUUGUGUAACAAGGAAAAUGGAACUUGUACUCACGGAUGCCAGGCGCAAUGGAUUGGACCUCUGUGUGACGAAUGUGAAGACGGACAUUACGGGAAGAAUUGUUCUUAUGCAUGCGGACAUUGUGCAAACUCGACAUUCUGUAACAAACAAAAUGGAACCUGCACUCACGGAUGCCUUCAACAUUGGGGUGGUGAGCUUUGUGAAG